UGCCAGCCGCCGCGGUAAUACGGAAGGUGCGAGCGUUGUUCGGAAUGACUGGGCGUAAAGAGCGCGUAGGCGGUUUAACAAGUUGGAUGUGAAAUUCCUGGGCUCAACCUGGGCAUGUCAUUCAAAACUGUUAAUCUUGAAUGUCUGAGGGGUCAGUGGAAUUCCAGGUGUAGGAGUGAAAUCCGUAGAUAUCUGGAGGAACAUCGGAGGCGAAGGCAACUGACUGGCAGAGCAUUGACGCUGAGGCGCGAAGGCGUGGGUAGCGAACGGGAUUAGAUA
rnacentral:rRNA from 1 species